UACAGAGGUCUCAAGCGUUGUUCGGAUUCAUUGGGCGUAAAGGGCGCGUAGGCGGCCUAGCAAGUCACUUGUGAAAUCUCCGGGCUUAACUCGGAACUGCCAAGUGAAACUGCUGGGCUAGAGUGCAGAAGGGGCAAUCGGAAUUCUUGGUGUAGCGGUGAAAUGCGUAGAUAUCAAGAGGAACACCUGAGGUGAAGACGGGUUGCUGGGCUGACACUGACGCUGAGGCGCGAAAGCUAGGGUAGCAAACGGG
rnacentral:rRNA from 1 species